AGUCGCGUCCCGUCGCUAGGCAACGAGCGCGCGCGCCUCAGAACCCGAGACGGCGCACUGCACAAGGGCAGGGCGCGCGGAGGGAUGAGAAAACCAAGGCUCAGAGAGACCGGAUGACUUGUUGAAGAUCACACAGCUAUAAGCGGCAGCACCAGGACUGGAACUAGAUAACUGUACCUUCCAACUUCACAAUAGCACAGCUUGCUGGGUCCUUAGAGCCCCUCUUGGGACCUCCAGCCUGCGAAAUUAUUUCCUCCCUAGAGAUG